CCGGGGGGUCAACAUCGCCCGCGGUGCCGCCCAGGCCGGGUGCUUGUGGUCGCCAGCGGUGAUGGUGAAGGAGAAGUUCUCCAAGCUGCUGCUCGGAGAGGACAUGUCCGGCACCAUCAGGAAGGUAAUCCAUUCACUCUUUCACGGAUCCUAUUGUUUCCCUAUUAUUUUCGAAAAAUCAACUCUCUGGAUUCUCUGAUAAGUGGGCCGACGACCCUGCAACCGCCAUCCUAAAAUUCAUCUUGCCGAAAAUUGAUUUGGCGCUGGGCUGCAGUCAUUUACCGCUAUUGGCCCGCCCGUCCUGCGAAAAAAUUGCAUCUUCACCUCCCCCACCUCCUCACUAACCUCCCCAUAUCCUCUGUUCUUUCCUUUGCCUCAUCCAUCUCGAUCCUCCUUUCUACACCCGCCGUCGGUAUCCCUUCGGCAUCCCGUCGCCAUCGGGUGGGACUUCGGCGCCAUCAGGUGAGGCACUGGCACUUCUACAGGCUGUUGCCUAUGAGCCCCCAAACAGAUCCUUCCUAUCGUGAUCCUUUUGUUUUUAUUUUUAUUUUUUUGCGUUGCAGUAGUGUUACCAGUUCACCUAUCACUUAUUACAUUGACGUAUUAUUGAUAUAUUGCGCUGAAAUCCUGAAACAGAUGAGCCAAUAAUGUUUAGGUCCUGAAUCUCUAAGAGUGUAGAUCCUAAGUAUUCUAGUAGGUCUAAUCUGAAACACAUUAAUUCCUUCGAUUCUCUGAAUAACAACUCUUUUUAUUUGGAGAGGUUAGAUUAUACAAUAUUAAUUGAUGCAAGAUUAACUACAUAUAUUUUGUCCAUGAUCUUGUAAAGCAGUUUAGCUUCCCAUGCCCUGUUCUUAUAAGGAAGUUUAGACCUUUGAGUUGCUUUCUGUAGUACACCUAUCCUUUCUCCAACCGGAUCAGCCAUCAUCAAGAUGGAUUUUAGAACAAGCAAUACAGAUAUAUGUCAGCUGGACUUGGUUGUGUCUUUGUCUGUGUUUAAAUGGUUAGUUAGCUAAAAAGCGACUACGUUAAUUUUGCAAUUGCCAGCCUUCUAUUCUUGUUCCAUCCAUUCAUUCCUUCCUGAGCUAAUCGCGGUCUAGUUUGGGGAUAUAAAAUGACUUUGUUACAUGAACUGAUUAAGCAUGAUGAAGAUUUCUUUAUCUCUGUUUCUUUCUUUCUUUUUUUAGUUCUUGCUUUAUCUGAUUUUUAAUUACCAGUAGCCUUCGUGAUUCCAGGUUUCACUGCUCAAUUCCGUAGCCUACUCUACGUAUGUGUGCUUUCAGAUUACUCUUGCUUUCUGAAUGACUGAAUCUGAAAUUUAAUUAAUGUGUGUGCAGAAGAAAUCAUGGUAAGACCACCUCGAAGGUUAAGGAACUUGAACCUUGAAGAAGAAGAGGAUGCAGAAUAUAUUCAGAAUGGUUAGGACAACUUAGCAGAGAAUGAGAACAAUGAUGACUUACAGGAUCCUCCUGAUGUUAAUCGAUUAUUAGCCCACCUGCCACGCCACCAUCCAUGAACCCCCAUUAAGAUAAUAUGUAAGUUUCAUAUUUUUUCCUUGCAUAUCCAAAUGCAGUGUCAAAUCAAUUUGUUUCAUAUAUGUAGGGCCAAAUGAAGAGGUCAGACAAGUUUCAGGGGAUUUCAGAGUUUCAAAUCUAGCCGAUUUAGGAGGAAAGGUAAUUGUAGGUACUGAUGAAAAUGGUGUCCCAAAUAAAAGGUCAGCCUCCAUACUUGCUCAGUACCUUGGAUAGACAGCAGAAAAACCAUCAUUAAUUCGUUUACACAUUGAAAGAUGGGAUAGUGCUCUGUUUAAUACUCACAAGCAACAAAUAAUCAAGGAUGUGGAGGUAAAAUUAAUCUUACUAGUUCAAGCAAGUACCUCAAUUUUCAUCCAUCUAGUAGCAUUUACCUCUACUCUUUAUAGGAAUACUUUCAGUUCCCCCGCCAAAUGAUGAAUCUUACAAGGGAUUGGGUGCUAAGGAAUGUUAACAAUAGGUGCCGAUCCUACAAAUCAAAGUUGAAGAAAUAAUAUUUCAAUCAUGAAGAGAGAUUUCUAGAUGAAAUCAUAAAUGGGAAACCAAACAAAGUGAAUGAACUUCGAUGGAAAGCUCUUGUUGGAUUUUGGUGUCGAGAACAACAUAAGGUGCCAUCCUUUUAUGUAACAUUUAUAUGCAGUUUGAAAGCAACGAGUGUAACAGCACUUCAUCACUCUUCUACCUUUGCAGAAAGUAUGUGUGACAAACCCUAGAAUCGCAAAAGAACAGAAGAAUACACACACAUCAGGGAGAAAAAGCCAUGCUGGGCUGAAAAAAGAGAUGGUGAAAUAUAUUCAUCCAAUGUUAUUUAUUAUAUUCACUAUCAUCUAAUUUAGAUCUGUAAUGAGCCUCAAGCUCUGUUGUGCAGGAUAGAAUUAUGGGAGGCUACUCAUAAGAAAAAGAAUGGCAGAUACACUACCCACAAAAGUGGAUGCUGUAAUG
rnacentral:lncRNA from 1 species